ACACCCAGGCACAGCGGAUAGCUCCAAGGAUCCCAGGCAAAGCGAGAAGCUCAAUAGUCUCGGGUUCAGCACUAGGAAGAGCGGACAGCUCCUUGCACGGGAGCUGCAGGCUAGAGCGAACGCUAUAGUCAGGCACAGGUCACGGUGGACAGCUCCUCGGCUACUGUUUCAGCACUAGGAAGGGUGGACAGCUCCCUUAUAAGUUUCUAGUUCAGCGCCGCGGUGCGCCGACCCCUUUGAACCAGGAGAAAAAACCUAAGAGCACUGUUCCGGCGCCGGCAGCAUCCGGGACCUUGUUGUAUCAGCAGCCAGUUCGCGGGACUUGAGUGAUAACAUUCAGAUAUGUAAAUGCUCCGGAUAUUUCCCGGGACCUGGCACCAUAUCCCUUGCCUGCCUGAAGGGCGUUGUCUUGCCGUGACCUCCCUGGUUUAAUUAACUUGGAAGGGUAGUCUAUUAAUCCCAGAGGUUGCUCUCCAUCCCGUCAUCUGCCAAGGAUUUUCCGAAUCCAUGGAGAUAAUAGAUCCUGUUGGGAGCUGAAAGGAGACAGGAAUCUGUGCAAACCCCACUGUAAAAGCAGAGGGAUUCAAGUUCCAGAAUCCAUCACUUCAUAAUGGUUGGCGUGCACUGUGAGCCUAAGGGGACAGGGGUACAGAACUGGUCCAAGUGAGCAACAGCAGAUUAUCAUCCAAUAUGUUGAAUCAGGGCUCAAGCCAACCCUAAAGAAAAUAUAAACUGGGACCUCAUUCUAGAAUAUCAGUCGUUAUUUCCUACACAUUAUCCCUGGC